CCUCACAUUUUAUUAUCUUGGAUUCUCCAGCAUCUGCAGUUCCCAUUAUCUCUGAUACAGCGUUCAGUUUUUCUGUGCUUGGCAAUACUUGUUCUUGUCACUCGUUAUGCCCGAGUAAGCCAGGCUUGUUUUUUUGAAUUCAGUUUAGGCCAGACCAAUUGUCAAUUCAUCAAACUGCAAUUCAAUGGAAUUGCUACACUACCAAAGUAGGCCAUUCAGCUCAUUGAGCCCACAUGACUCUCUGAACAGCAUCCCACCCAGCCCUAACCCUGUUCCCUUAUCCUGUAAUUCUGCAAUUCCGAUGCCUAAUCCACCUAACCGACACAUCUCUGGACACCAUGGGCAACUUAGCCUGACUAACCCACCUAACCUGCACAUCUUUGGACUGUGGGAGGAAACCAGAUUACCCAGAGGAAACUCACGCAGAACACGCAAACUCCACAUGGACAGUCGCCUGAGGGUGGAAUCGAAUCCACAUCUCAGGUGCUGUGAGGCAGCAGUAUUAACCAUUAAGCCAAGUGCUUCAACAUAUCGUGUAAAUUGCCUUGUAGGUUCAUCCCAUGUGUCACCGCGCUUUCAAAAUAAACCCUACAGUCAGGUAAUUCAGAUGUGACUUGAUUCAUUAGUGUUUGGAAAUUGGCCGGGACAUUUGUUAAACCCAGAUGGCACGGUUCAACAUUGAUAUCACCCAUUUGCGCUUACAAAGGUCGAUAUUUGAGGAGCCUUUUGUGUUAAUGGCUAAAACCGCUUGUUCAGGAACCAUUCAGGUCGUGUUCCUAUGCUGAGCUCUCCUGAGCCCUCAACAACUGAUGCCAAUUAAAAGGACUUUCAAAAGAUUGUCACUGAGAAAGAUUUCCCUGAGGAAACUCAGGUAGUGCCGUUUUCUUUUGGAAUUCACCCUCUCCGCUCAAGUAAGUCAUUGCUCCAAAUCAAACUCACAAUGUGUCCCAGUAAUUUGAUUCUAAAACUGCAAAUAUUUUCUGAGACAGUUUCCUUGGUCUCAAGCAACAUAUUCUCCCAUUUCAUUUCACACUACAAAAAAAUGCUAAAGUCGUCUUUAUAUUUUAGGACAGUUCUCUCAAUUGGUGUUUUUGGUGAUAGUUUAGUUUUCUCAUGUGAUAACACAAUUUAGCUUCUCGACUAAGAAUUAUAAAGAGUUGAAAUACACAGCCAUCCAAUGGAUUGGAAUAAAGGUUAAUGGAACGGGUCUGCAGGAAGCAGAGGAGAUCGGAUUGAAAAUUCUUCUCAUUUAUGCAGUUUUUCACAACACUGAAGGUACAUUAUGUAUUCCUUUACAUUACAACAGAAUGUAAAACGAUCCUUUACUCACUAACGUGCUUGAAACCUUCUACACAGUCUGGCACAUUGCCAAUGUGAAUCCCAGAGGGUUGCUUGAUCACAUUGUCAAUUCGGAUAGAAUUUUGAUAAGCAUGGAUUCUGUAGACUUACAAUCUGGGAAGCAGGAGGAUUAUUUCAAACCCAGUGAGCAGAAUCUGGUCGGGGAGUCUGAUUGAUGUGGCCGUGGGGUGAGAAGCCCCAUAAAACCAAUCAUCAUGCGAGCAAGCAACUAUCUAUAUUGAUUAUGCUUUUGCCAAAUUGCUGGGCAGCAGUGAGGUGCCAAUUAAAACGGGAUUGCUAGAUGCCUUACUAAUGCAACUCACAUCUGCACCACUUACCAUGACCAGCAUCUUCUCUGGUGAACACACAUGGCAUGUGCAGAGACAAAAUGGUCAUGUUUAGUGGAGCGGUCUUCAGUGCAGUCCAUAGAGCACUCACCAAUUAAGAGCCCUGGCACAGUGAAUCGGGGCACCCUCGGACACCAGUCCAGGAGACUGACCAUGGUCAGUGACCUGCUCAGGGAGCUCUCAGUCGGGAUGGCCAGUGCCUCUGUAGUCCAGGGAGUGGGUCAAUCAAUUAGUCAGUGCAGAGGCGUGGUGGGUUGGUUAGUGAUUCGGAGGGUGGUGGACAUUUCCCUCAUUCUUGGCAAGGUAAUUGAGAUGAAACAUUGGGCAGGAUGUCUGCCUCCCUCUAAAUCACAAAUAAUUGGGAAAUAUUUAUCCUGUUAGUAAGGGAUCAAUGGUUAUGGCGAGAAGGCAGGAGAAUGGGGUUGAGAAGCUUGUCAGCAACGAUUGAACGGUGGAGCAGACUAGAUGGGCUGAAUGGUCUAAAUCUGCCCCAGUGUCUCAUGGGUCCAGCUACCUCAGCAACUAUGGUCUCAGUUCAAGCGUCCUGACUAAAGAACCAAUUAAUGCCUUUCAGUUGUCAAUUUGUGGCCAUUUAAGAGCCUUAAGCUGCCAAAUGCCUGAUGUGAGAAAUGUGGCAGCCUUCCCGAUAGUUAUUAACGGGCUAUCUGCUGGUCAGGUUAGGUCUUGCUGUGCCCCAAUCUGGGGCCAAUCGCAGGCACACAUAGUGUCAAGCGAGUUGGCACUGCAAACUACCACCAGGCCCUGGUCCCACCACCUUCCCUCAUGUCCCUCUGCCUUCAAUCAUCCCCAAAGAUAUCACUCCCUGUUUGCCUGAUCACUGCCAGCAGAUUGAUCCCUCAGUGGGUCAAUGCCUCUGAUUGUCUGACAGGUUCAAACGGGGUAGGGCAUCUCUGCCCUGAUAUCUGAUUGGCAGAGAGGCAGGUGGAUGGCUGUUUUAGGAUUUUGCUGAGUGGGUUUUUCCACUUUUGUCUCACUCACCGCACUCCAAACCACAACCCCACACCCCAUCUCCCACCCUCCCACACUUGGAUAAUCUGAUCGUCAGCUGUGUUUCUGGACUCAACAUUGUACAAAGGAGUCCAGGGCCCUGGAGAGAUUUACUGGGUUUAUACCAGUAAAGCUGGGCCUCUGUGACGUGGAUAGACUGCAGAAGUUGGGGAUAUUCGCAUCAGAGCAGAAGGGAUUAACAAGUCAUUUGGGACCACUCUUCAAAACCAUGAAGGGUAAAGGAGGGGAAACUGUGGCCGAGAUGGUAAUGAUGAGAGUGUGUUAAUUUGAGCCACUGGAUGAAUGUGCAGUUGUCAAGGGGGCUGGUCAGCUCAGCUAGUUGGACAGCUGGCUUGUGGUGCAAACUAAUGCCAAUGGCAUAGGUCAAGUUCUGCAUCAGCUGAGGUCACCAAGAAGGGAAACCUUCUCAAACUCACCCCUUACAUGGGGUGUAGUGACCCUCACAUCGAACCGCCACCAAUUUCCUCUCUCUCUCUGUCUCUCUCUCUCUCUUUCACGAGAGAGCAACCCUAUCUAUGGCCUGGUUAGCACCCCUCCAGCACUGUAAUCUGGAAAGUACUGUCUGAAAUGGUGAUAGAAGCAAAUUCAGUCCCAACAUUCGAAAGAUAAAAGUUCCCACGAGGAGGGAAAACCUGCGGGUAGGGGUGAAAGGAGCAGGUCAGUGUAAUGACCAAAGUGCCAAUGCAGGGGCAGUACACAGGCUACAACGGGUCAAGAGGACAGCUGACCACCACCUUCUCAAGAGCAACUCGGGAGAGGGCAAUAAAUGCUGACCCAGUCAAUGACUCCCGUGCCCUACCAGUGUGCAAUCAAAUAAAAAGCCUCCCCUAACGCUGUGUCACCCUGUGAGGAUGUUGUGCAGUCAGGUCCAUCAGUGUUUACCCCAUUUCAGCAAAGUCACCCUGUCCCCAUCAACUUCAACCUCUGACUCACUGUAACUAAUGCCUUCAACGAUCUCCGAGUAAAAUGUUUUUUAUUUACAGAAACAAUUGUUCCUGUCACUGUCCUUGGGGAAUUAGCGGAUACAUCGAAAAUGGAAUAAUUUUACAGAGCCAUGAUGUUUUUGUGAAUGUAGUUCCUCAAGUCAAGAGUUUUCCUGCACCUACAGAUCCAAAGGUUAAACCUGGAAACAUAUCUGCUGGUUGGUACUUUGUCAGGGCAGUGGAUGGGAAACUGGAAGAUAAACAAUAUGAAGAACAUGUGCUUGAAUUCCUGAGGGACUUGGAAGAGGACAACCAACCCUUUGAGCCAAGAUUUUUUGCUCUUAAUUUCUACAGCAGAAGUGGGCUAAUGGAAAUAGCUUUUGCUAAAACUUCCAAAUGAUUUCUUUUCUGUGACAUUCUGUUACCUUUACAGACGUAUAAAAGUAAAAUGUGCUUCGCUCUGUCUUAAACUACUUUAAUCAUGUGUGAAGUACAUAUCGGCUUUAACCUGGAGGAGGGUGCAUUAUUGUGGUCUCCUUAUCCAAGAACGGAAUUGCUUACUGUUGGGAUUUGGCGUCUGUGUGGAAAGUUCUUGGCAGGGAAUAACCUUUUGGUGAGAGGGAAACAUUAAACACAAACCAAAAAGAAAGAUUGUGCAACAAAGGUUGCGUUUAAGACGAAACAUUCACUUGUUGAGGCUUACCACAGUACACAGACUUUCAGGGCAGAACGGUUUUUCUUGCUAUCCAUUCGUGAAUACCUGACAUUCUUUGAACUUGAUCUGUUGUCUCAGAAAGUACUUUGAUGUUUUCGCUUCAGUCAGUUUAAUUUGAUCAUGCACACAAAACUCCCUUGCAUCUUCAACACUUCAACUUUAAUUUCUCAGUCUACUUCAACUCUUGUCACCACAGCUAUUUUCUGAAAGCCUCUCUACAGCCAAUGCUUAACACACAGUUCGAAGAACCUUGUGAAACAGAUUCCUUUCUUUCACAUUUUCCGAAGGCAGUUUCCUUGAUCCUGAACAGAGGGCUUUAACACAGAUCUAAUACACACAAUCUGAAUUUCUCAUGGAAUAUCCAUAGCCCAUCUGUGCAUCCCUUAUCGAAAAUCUCUGAGUCUAUGACAAUGAACCAUCAACUGAUAAUGCUCCUGCUCAAGUGCUCCUAUUAACUCCUACCUUUCUCUCUCAGCAGGAGCUCCUCACAGCCACAAUAUAGGCAGACUGAAUGUGUGAUUGAAGAACUGACUGAUUCCAAGAUCAUUCCUGUUACAGGGGGUUUAUUCACAUGUAUCCCAUGUGGAGGGAAGAAGCCAUUAUCUUCGAGCCAGUGUUUGUCUGUGUUUUUCUAAUUGCUGGGAAUAUUUCUCGCUGUGAAAUAAAGAGGGUGAUGAAUCACAA